rnacentral:rRNA from 1 species
GAAUCCCGUCUUUGACACGGACUACCUGUACAUUAUGGUGUGCUCUCGAAGAGUCGAGUUGUUUGGGAAUGCAGCUCAAAAUGGGUGGUAAAUGCCAUCUAAAGCUAAAUAUUGGCGAGAGACCGAUAGCGAACAAGUACCGUGAGGGAAAGAUGAAAAGCACUUUGGAAAGAGAGUUAAACAGUACGUGAAAUUGCUGAAAGGGAAACGCUUAAAGUCAGUCGCGUUGGCUGGAAAUCAGCCCUUGCUUUUGCUUGGUGUAUUUUCUGGUCGACGGGUCAGCAUCAAUUUCGACCAUUGGAUAAAGUCAUUGGGAAUGUGGCAUCUUUUGGAUGUGUUAUAGCCCAUUGUUGUAUACGGUGGUUGGGAUUGAGGAACUCAGCAUGCCCGCGAGGGCCAGGUUUCGACCAUGUUUCAUGCUUAGGAUGCUGGCAUAAUGGCUUUAAUCGACCCGUCUUGAAACACGGACCAAGGAGUCUAACAUGCCUGCGAGUGUUUGGGUGGAAAACCCAUGCGCGCAAUGAAAGUGAAAGUUGAGAUCCCUGUUAGAGGGGAGCAUUGACGCCCGGACCAGAGCUUUUGUGACGGAUCCGCGGUAGAGCAUGUAUGUUGGGACCCGAAAGAUGGUGAACUAUGCCUGAAUAGGGUGAAGCCAGAGGAAACUCUGGUGGAGGCUCGUAGCGAUUCUGACGUGCAAAUCGAUCGUCAAAUUUGGGUAUAGGGGCGAAAGACUAAUCGAACCAUCUAGUAGCUGGUUCCUGCC